rnacentral:ncRNA from 1 species
CAGUUCACUCCACUCGCCAUGACUGCUGUACAACACAAAAGGAGGGAUUCUAUUUCCGCAAGGCUUGCGGUGCAGCAGUGUGGAGACCUGCUGUAAGCUGGCGCGCCCCCUGCGGGCGGCCGGGAGUCGGUCUUAAGAGGAGUCUGGACCGUCAAAGCCACAUUUAUG